rnacentral:rRNA from 1 species
GACGAACGCUGGCGGCGUGCUUAACACAUGCAAGUCGAACGGAAAGGCCCUGCUCUUGUGGGUUGCUCGAGUGGCGAACGGGUGAGUAACACGUGAGUAACCUGCCCUUGACUUUGGGAUAACUUCAGGAAACUGGGGCUAAUACCGGAUAGGAUCUCCUGCUGCAUGGUGGGGGUUGGAAAGUUCCGGCGGUUGGGGAUGGACUCGCGGCUUAUCAGCUUGUUGGUGGGGUAGUGGCGUCCCACGGCUUUGAGGGGUAGCCGGCCUGAGAGGGUGACCGGCCACAAUGGGACUGCGGUACGGACCAGACUCCUACGGGAGGCAGCAGUGGAGAAUAUUGCACAAUGGGCGGACGCCUGAUGCGGCAACGCCGCGUGCGGGAUGCCGGGCUUCGGGUUGUAAACCGCUUUCGCCUGUGACGAAGCGUGAGUGACGGUAAUGGGUCAAGAAGCACCGGCUAACUACGUG